GGAAGUAAAAGUCGUAACAAGGUUUCCGUAGGUGAACCUGCGGAAGGAUCAUUAAAUAAUCAAUAAUCUUGGCUUGUCCAUUAUUAUCUAUUUACUGUGAACUGUAUUAUUAUUUGACAUUUGAGGGAUGUUCCAAUGUUAUAAGGAUAGACAUUGGAAAUGUUAACCGAGUCAUAAUCAGGUUUAGGCCUGGUAUCCUAUUAUUAUUUACCAAAUGAAUUCAGAAUUAAUAUUGUAACAUAGACCUAAAAAAUCUAUAAAACAACUUUUAACAACGGAUCUCUUGGUUCUCGCAUCGAUGAAGAACGUAGCAAAGUGCGAUAACUAGUGUGAAUUGCAUAUUCAGUGAAUCAUCGAGUCUUUGAACGCAACUUGCGCUCAUUGGUAUUCCAAUGAGCACGCCUGUUUCAGUAUCAAAACAAACCCUCUAUCCAACUUUUGUUGUAUAGGAUUAUUGGGGGCCUCUCGAUCUGUAUAGAUCUUGAAAUCCCUGAAAUUUACUAAGGCCUGAACUUGUUUAAAUGCCUGAACUUUUUUUUAUAUAAAGGAAAGCUCUUGUAAUUGACUUUGAUGGGGCCUCCCAAAUAAAUCUCUUUUAAAUUUGAUCUGAAAUCAGGCGGGAUUACCCGCCUGAACUUAAGCAUAUCAAUAAGCGGAGGA
rnacentral:misc_RNA from 1 species